rnacentral:rRNA from 1 species
GACGAACGCUGGCGGCGUGCUUAACACAUGCAAGUCGAACGGAAGGGCCCUGCUUUUGUGGGGUGCUCGAGUGGCGAACGGGUGAGUAACAAGUGAGUAACCUGCCCUUGACUUUGGGAUAACUUCAGGAAACUGGGGCUAAUACCGGAUAGGAGCUCCUGCUGCAUGGUGGGGGUUGGAAAGUUUCGGCGGUUGGGGAUGGACUCGCGGCUUAUCAGCUUGUUGGUGGGGUAGUGGCUUACCAAGGCUUUGACGGGUAGCCGGCCUGAGAGGGUGACCGGCCACAUUGGGACUGAGAUACGGCCCAGACUCCUACGGGAGGCAGCAGUGGGGAAUAUUGCACAAUGGGCGGAAGCCUGAUGCAGCAACGCCGCGUGCGGGAUGACGGCCUUCGGGUUGUAAACCGCUUUCGCCUGUGACGAAGCGUGAGUGACGGUAAUGGGUAAAGAUGCACCGGCUAACUACGUG